rnacentral:sRNA from 1 species
GUCUUUUCCUUUCUUUGUCUUCUU